rnacentral:rRNA from 1 species
UACGUAGGGUCCGAGCGUUGUCCGGAGUUACUGGGCGUAAAGCGCGCGCAGGCGGCGGUGCUGGCCCGGCGUGAAAGCCCCCGGCUCAACCGGGGAGGGUCGUCGGGGACCGCACCGCUUGAGGGCGGUAGGGGCGGGUGGAAUGCCUGGUGUAGUGGUGAAAUGCGUAGAGAUCAGGCGGAACACCCGUGGCGAAGGCGGCCAGCUGGGCAGUAGCUGACACUGAGGCGCGACAGCGUGGGGAGCAAACAGG